rnacentral:tRNA from 1 species
ACAUUGGUGGUUCAGGGGUAGAAUUCUUGCCUUCCAUUCAAGAGGCCCAGUUCGAAUCCUGGCAAACGCA